rnacentral:rRNA from 1 species
AUGAACGCUAGCUACAGGCUUAACACAUGCAAGUCGAGGGGAAACGAUGAGAGAGCUUGCUCUCUUAGGCGUCGACCGGCGCACGGGUGAGUAACGCGUAUCCAACCUACCCAUUACAGGGGGAUAACCUUGCGAAAGUAAGACUAAUACCCCAUGGCAUUUUAUGGUGGCAUCAUUAUAGGAUUAAAGAUUUAUUGGUAAUGGAUGGGGAUGCGUCUGAUUAGCUUGUUGGCGGGGUAACGGCCCACCAAGGCAACGAUCAGUAGGGGUUCUGAGAGGAAGGUCCCCCACAUUGGAACUGAGACACGGUCCAAACUACUACGGGAGGCAGCAGUGAGGAAUAUUGGUCAAUGGGCGAGAGCUUGAACCAGCCAAGUAGCGUGCAGGAUGACGGCCCUAUGGGUUGUAAACUGCUUUUAUAGGGGAAUAAAGUGAGCUACGUGUAGUUUAUUGCAUGUACCCUAUGAAUAAGGACCGGCUAAUUCCGUG